rnacentral:rRNA from 1 species
GGAUGUGAUCAUACUAGCAUUAAUGCAUCGGAUCCCAUCAGAACUCCGCAGUUAAGCGCGCUUGGGCUAGAGUAGAACUGGGAUGGGUGACCUCCCAGGAAGUCCUAGUGUUGCACCCU